rnacentral:lncRNA from 1 species
UUAUUUUUGGCAUUAUUAAGGUAUAGUUGUUCUUCCUUGGCACAAGGGACACUUCACUUUACAUCAUCUGCUCCACCAAAAUCGUCACUAGGCCUGUUUUUUUCUCAUUUUGGUUGCUUUGCACCGCCUGAUCCAGUUCUGUGUGUAAGUGCUUCUCGUCGUCCAUAAUCGUACAUUAACUUUGUGAUUUGACAUGAUCAGUGAGUUUUCGUUAUUUUCUAUGUAUAUAGUCUUUGUGUUUAGAAGGGGAGUGUUGGAGCAACGAUAAAGUAAUCUCCGUGCGUGGAAUCAAUGAUGUUUGCAUUAGGGUAGGCUGCCUAUAUCACACCCUCUUGGGAUGCAACCCUUUCUCGGACCUAUGUGAUCUUCAUGCACUGGAUUGCCCUUUAUAGUCUUGGUGUUUGAUAUUGAUACUUCAUAUUGCUUAUGAAUAAUAUGGAAUUAUUGAGGGAAUGAAUUAUUUUGCCUUAGACCCAAAACGUUUGAAGCACAGAAAGCGGAUUCAACAGGCUAAAGAGUGAGCCUGAAGCAAAAAAGAGAGCAUUCAAUCUAAAACCUUAAGUCAAUAAUGUGACCCUUUGAAUUUCUUAGACCACUAAGGGACGCGUAUUCUCACGGUACUUAGAAUUGAAUUAGGGCUACUUGCAGUAAUUAGUGUGAACAUGAUCUUGAUUAUAUGUUUAGGGCUUCCUAGCUAACUUUUGUUCUUUAAUUGUUCUCCAAUUAUAUAUUUUUAAAUUUGUCUUUCUGGUAUAAUGCAGCUUUUUGUUGAACGAUCGAGCUCUUUAGUUCUUGCAGGGAGCUUCUUUUAUCUUGUAAAAGUUCCAGCGGAGCAUAUUUCGCAGCUUAGGAAAUGGAAGGUCACCAUUUGUCAAGUCCAAGAACUAGUGCAACUGAGGUCACAAUAGUGUUUGAGAAAAUGGAUUGUUGCAUUACAUCACUUCACAAAGCAGUUUGGUCUUUGGUGUGAGGUAUUUGCCUACGCAAUAUGACUUGUUAGUGACAGUCUUAAAUGUUUAUGCUGCUUUUGCUCAACUUUCUGUUUCAUUACCUCUUUUUAGUGUAAUUAUUGCAGCUGUGUUGUGGAAUAGAGUUUAAUCCAAUCAUAUACAUAUGUUAGACUCCUGAGUCCAAUGGGGUGGAUCUAAUAGCAGGAUGCGAAGAUGGCGGGGGCCGGGGUUAACUAAAUAACAGUUGGUGCUGAACUACUAUACAUCCGAUCUGAUCCAUUCUUGCCGUGCCAAACUACUUGCAACAGGGAAAUUCUCAGGCUUUCAUAAUUAAGGAUGAUCUCCUGUCCGUCUUUUCUUUUCCUGAAUUCACUUUUCAGAAUAUGAAUAUCAUUUGAGUAUGCCAUAUUAAGUUUAAGGAGAAUGCUUGUCAUAGAGUGAUAUUUUGAAAUAGUUCAUAAGACUGAAUCAAGUAUUUGAAGAGUAAUACCUACAUUGAUAUGAUUUGUCAAUUUACUUGACAAGUUACCAUGCAUUUUUUUCUCUUUUUGGCAUUGUAGGUCCAAGAUUUGAGAUAGGCGUUAUGCCUUUUGCUGUUCCUCGUUCUGCUUCUUAUGUAAGAACGGAGUAUGAUAUAGCAAUAUUUUAGUUCCACUUUGCUGCAUGUGUUCUUCCAUCAACAGGUUUUAUAAAUACAAGACUCUAGUGUCGCUCAAAUUCCAUUCACUGUGUACCUCCCACCUUAUUGUACAUUACGAGUCUAGCUUCCAUAGUUUACUUUGGUUCAAACUCCACGCGAAAUAUGUUCUAUUUGUCUUGCUUUGCGUAGCGCCAACUCAAAUAGCAGCUUGCUGAAUAAUUGACUUGUACUGAUCAUAGUUGAUCCAGAUAGUCUUUUUAUCAGGUAAACGGUGUCCAUCUAUUGUUCGUUUCUGCUAUCCAAGAUGCUUAUGUAAUAACACCCCUUGUAGCACCCAUAAGAGACCCAUAGGCAGAGUUUUGCAGGCUGCUGGAAUCAAAAUGAAGGUUGAAGGACCAUGCGAUUCAUUAAGGGGCAAUAGCGGCUUCCGGACCAAGCAACAGAUGGACGGGCCAGGCCAGGCCUGAAUAUAGACAGGACCAGACUCUUCUUUGUUUGAGCGACAACCAGUUAUGCAGACCGAAGAUCUCACUUGUCAUGGACAAGUACACAGAUAUCCUCGUGGGACCUCCAAUCAAUAAGGUAAAAAAAGUAGUUAUGGCUUGUGCUGUAAUGCACAAAAGCCCUUCAUCCCACCAAAACGUAAACAACCUAACGUGCUCGCUUGUGACACAUAGGCUUGCAGUGUUUCCAUGUCUAUGAGUAGGGAAUGGUGAAUGCAGGAAAAUAAUCCUUCAGGUUGAGUGUAUGUUGCUACCAAACUUUCUUAUUCAAACAAUUGCUACUAGCUAGUGUUGACUUUCCUCUGUAGUAAAAUUGGAAACUGUACUGCAACUUGGAGCUAAGCAUUAUAAUUGAAUUUAAAGUGACUUCCAC